rnacentral:rRNA from 1 species
AUUGAACGCUGGCGGCAGGCCUAACACAUGCAAGUCGAGCGGAUGAAGGGAGCUUGCUCCUGGAUUCAGCGGCGGACGGGUGAGUAAUGCCUAGGAAUCUGCCUUGUAGUGGGGGAUAACGUCCGGAAACGGGCGCUAAUACCGCAUACGUCCUGAUGGCGAAAGUGGGGGUUCUUCUGACCUCACGCUUUCAGAUGAGCCUAGGUCGGAUUAUCUAGUUGGUGGGGUAAAGGCCUACCAAGGCGACGAUCCGUAACUGGUCUGAGAGGAUGAUCAGUCAAACUGAAAAUGAGAAACGGUACAGACUCCAACGGGAGGAAGCAGUGGGGAAGAUGGGAAAAUGGGCGAAAGACAGAAAAAGACAGGCGGCGUGGGUGAAGAAGGUCUUCGGAUUGUAAAGAAAUUUAAGAUGGGAGGAAGGGGAGUAAGUUAAUACCUUGCUGAUUUGACGUAACCAACAGAAUAAGAACCGGCUAACUUCGU